rnacentral:rRNA from 1 species
AACACGUGAGUAACCUGCCCCGGACUCUGGGAUAAGCGUUGGAAACGACGUCUAAUACCGGAUAGGACUUCCUUCGGCAUCGGAGGGGGUGGAAAGAAUUUCGGUUCGGGAUGGACUCGCGGCCUAUCAGCUUGUUGGUGAGGUAAUGGCUCACCAAGGCGACGACGGGUAGCCGGCCUGAGAGGGUGACCGGCCACACUGGGACUGANACACGGCCCAGACUCCUACGGGAGGCAGCAGUGGGGAAUAUUGCACAAUGGGCGCAAGCCUGAUGCAGCAACGCCGCGUGAGGGAUGACGGCCUUCGGGUUGUAAACCUCUUUUGGCAGGGAAGAAGCCUUCGGGUGACGGUACCUGCAGAAAAAGCACCGGCUAACUACGUGCCAGCAGCCGCGGUAAUACGUAGGGUGCAAGCGUUGUCCGGAAUUAUUGGGCGUAAAGAGCUCGUAGGCGGUUUGUCGCGUCUGCUGUGAAAACGCGAGGCUCAACCUCGCGCCUGCAGUGGGUACGGGCAGACUGGAGUGCG